UGCGUAGGCGGGUCUUUAAGUCAGGGGUGAAAUCCUGGAGCUCAACUCCAGAACUACCUUUGAUACUGAAGAUCUUGAGUUCGGGAGAGGUGAGUGGAACUGCGAGUGUAGAGGUGAAAUUCGUAGAUAUUCGCAAGAACACCAGUGGCGAAGGCGGCUCACUGGCCCGAUACUGACGCUGAGGCACGAAAGCGUGGGGAGCAAACA
rnacentral:rRNA from 1 species